UACGUAGGGGGCAAGCGUUGUCCGGAUUUAUUGGGCGUAAAGCGCGUGUAGGCGGCCACACAGGUCCGCUGUGAAAACUCGAAGGCUCAACCUCGAGCUGUCGGUGGAAACCGUGUGGCUAGAGUCCGGAAGAGGAGACUGGAAUUCCCGGUGUAGCGGUGGAAUGCGCAGAUAUCGGGAGGAACACCCGUGGCGAAGGCGGGGUCUCUGGGGACGGUACUGACGCUGAGACGCGAAAGCGUGGG
rnacentral:rRNA from 1 species